GACACAGCUGGCUGCCUCGCCGGCUGCGGGAGGGGCAGCAGGAGCAGGUGGCCAGACCGUGACAUCCCCACGCUGCCGCCUGCCUGGCCCUGUUGACUCACCUCAGAUGUCAACUCGGCCGCCCACAGGGCCCAGUCCUGUACAGCUGGGGCAGGUGGCGGGCAGGCCCGGCAGGUGCCAGGCCAGGCCUCAGGCCCUCCCAGAGGCAGAUGCUGGAGGCAGGGGCGGCUGGGUCCCCUCCAAGGUUGGCGGACUCCACCGUCCCCGGUGAGCAGGGACCCAGGGGUCAGCAAGGAAGCUGGUGUACAGCUGCCUGGGGUCCCCAGCCUUGGAGACUGCAUGAGGGAACUGAGGCCACAGGGAGAGGGCCGGGGUCCAGGCCCCAGAAGUGAGUGGCGGUCCAGAGACCACCCAGGACCCCUCUGAGAAGCACCCCUGCCAGGCUCCCUGCCAUGGAGCCAGCGCCCAGGAGCCGUGGGCACGGGGGAAGACCUCCCCGGGCUGCAGAGUGGCGUUGUAGGAGGAAAGGCUGCCGCCCUCCCUGACAAGCCUGACCCCAGCUGCAAUGUCGCCUGCCCGGCUCUCCCAGGACCGGGGGCCCACUCCCCACCCAGGGCCACGUGGCUCUCACUGCUGCGUCGCCUCCAGGGUGCAAGCGGGCCUCGGCACUCAUGCCCAGCCUGCUGACCCCAGACGGCCCCACCCCCUCUGCAGAGGGACGGCCUCCCCGAGCCGGCCCCACCUGCCCCAUCCUGGGUCCUGAAGUCCAGCCGCUGCAUGUCCGCCGGUUGUCCCGGCACACACGCAGGACUAGGGCGCCAGGUGCACAAGGCCCGCCUCUCCACUCACGACUUUGCCCGCGUGGGGGUGAUUCAGAGCCAUCAGAGGUGUGCCAGUCACUGGCCUUGGGAUGUGGUCACCCACCCUCGGGCUGGCCAGAGGCUCUUGUCCAGCUCCAACUGGCCACCAUGCAGCCCCACCUGACCCCCACUGUCCCGGAACCAGCAGCCCCAUUGGGCGCCGGCCCCUCCUCAUUGGGCCUCAGUUUCCUCGGGUGUCAGGCCCUGUCCUUGUGCUCCCUGAAGGGGUCAAGGCGCAGCUUCUCCAAGGCUGGGGUCGUGGAUGGGGGUGCAUGAGAACUGUCGUGUUUGGAUGGGGGCGUCGGCCCAUGGAAGGAGCCCCAGCCCACCGCCGUGCUCACAAUGACCUUGGCGCUGCAAGUGCCUAGAGCUGACGCAGAAUCCCAGCUACCCAUGGGGGUCACUUCUCACUUGGGAGGCUUCACUGGGAGAAGGGACAGCAGCAGGCGUUUGGCUGGUGCUUUGAGCUGGGAUCUUGCCUGGGCUGUGAGGUCCCAGCCCUGGGAGACACCGGCUUUUGGGAGCUCAUAGCUGGUCUUCUCUGAAUUGCCCGGCCCCACAGAGCUGGUUCUGCUCCACCAGGAGGCUUUCUGCUCCCUGGGUAACCCCCAGGGGGACAGAUGCUGGGCCCAACAAAGCUGGAUGUCACCCCCAGGGGAAGUGGCCACUGGGGCUGGGCUGGAGGGGGCCAGGGGGCCUGGGGGCCCAGGUCAGACGCCGGGUCAGUGUGGCUCAGCCGUGUGGGUUUCCCAAGCGUCCAUGGAAACAUAUGAGACUCAGAAUGCUAUGCGCCUUAAACGGCGAAAAGAACAGCAAUCUCUUUUAAAGCUGAAGUAGGAGAGCUUGUCCCUCCGAGAACAGACGUGUCUGAACGCUCCCUGUAGGAGGCGGGGGCAGGGCCGAGGGGGGCGGAUGGGAUCCGACUGUGGCCGCUGGGAGGGAGCAGCGCCGGUUGGGGGGCGUCGCCGCACCCAGAUCUCUUAGCUGCCAGUUGUGUGUCGUAGGAGCUGGACCCCACAAAGUGACAGGUAGGGACCAGGACGCCAACAGGGAGUCCUCAGGCAGAGGAGUCCUCUGACCGCCCCAGGGCAGAAAAUGUCAGGCCUGUUUGAGGUCCCCUGAGAGGGACAGGUGGGCCCAGGUGGCAGGUUUCAGCAGAAGCAUGGCCAGGGCGACAGUGAGUGUCCCUGGCUGGAGGAUGCCAGCCAAGGCUGCCGGGCGCUGGGGUGUUGAACAAGGGCCUGUGGAGCGCGCCGUCCUGCGAGCCUUGGGUCCCCUGUCCCAGGGGUGAGGCUCAGUAGUCACCACUGUCAUCAGGUGGCCUUGCCCUCCUCCCCUCCUCCUCCCUCCAGCUGCCCCCCGACCACAGGCUCUUCUCGAGAACAUUCUCUGCCUGGAAAGCCCUUCUCUGCAGCAUCAGUUUCCUGGGGCUGCUGCAAGCAAGCAGCACAACCCGGGGACUUAGGCGGGAAAUCCCUGCCUUCCCAGGCCUCCAGCCAGAGUCUGAAUCCAGAGGCCACAGAGACAUGUGGGAGGGUCCUUCUUGCACCUGGCGGCUCCAAGUGUCCUUGGCUUGUGGCCACAUGGCUCCUUUCUCUGUGCCCAUCUUCAUGUGGCCUCUCCUCGUGUCUCUGCCUCUUCUCUUCUUAUAGGAACUGUUGUCUUUGGGAGUUCCCGUCAUGGCUCAGGGGUUGAUGAAUCUGACCAGCAUCCACAGGGACGCAGGUUCCAUCCCUGGCCUCGCUCAGUGGGUUAAGGGUCCGGUGUUGCCGUGAGCGUGGUGUAGGUUGCAGAUGUGGCUUGGAUCCUCUGUGGCUGUGUUGUGGCUUAGGUUGGUGGCUGUAGCUCUGACUGGACCCCUGGCCUGGGAACCUCCAUGUGCUGUGGGUGUGGCCCUAAAAAGCAAAAAAAAAAAAAAAAAAA
rnacentral:lncRNA from 1 species